CCAACAAACUGCAGCCCCUUUCACAGCAAAGCUGAACCAAAGUAGAACUAGAAUAAACACCAGUAUUAUCUUCACAUGACGCAAGAUUGUUGCAACAAAAAAUUCCUAACACUGUUCUCAAGAUCUCUCAAGAGUCAAAUUCGCAUAGCAGAACAGGCACACUUUCUCUCUCUCCUCAAAGUUUUACCCCAAGUCAUAUAUUGCUAAAUUCACGUGGAUUCAAAGCUGGUCUCUUUUGGCAAAACCACAGCAAUUAAGCAAUCCGAAGGAUUUGGUGCAAUAGAAAGC
rnacentral:lncRNA from 1 species